rnacentral:rRNA from 1 species
CCUACGGGAGGCAGCAGUGAGGAAUAUUGGUCAAUGGUCGGGAGACUGAACCAGCCAAGCCGCGUGAGGGAUGAAGGUACAGAGUAUCGUAAACCUCUUUUGUCAGGGAACAAAGGCGGGGACGUGUCCCCGGAUGAGUGUACCUGAAGAAAAAGCAUCGGCUAACUCCGUGCCAGCAGCCGCGGUAAUACGGAGGAUGCGAGCGUUAUCCGGAUUUAUUGGGUUUAAAGGGUGCGCAGGCGGUCUGUUAAGUCAGCGGUCAAAGCCCGGGGCUCAACCCCGGCCCGCCGUUGAAACUGGCAGUCGCGAGUUGGAGAGAAGCAUGCGGAUGGCGCGGUGGAGCGGUGAAAUGCAGAGAUGUCGCGCAGAACUCCGAUUGAGAAGGUAGCAUGCCGGCUCCACACUGACGCUGAGGCACGAAAGCGUGGGUAUCGAACAGGAUUAGAUACCCUAGUAGUC